UGGGGAAUAUUGCACAAUGGGCGCAAGCCUGAUGCAGCCAUGCCGCGUGUAUGAAGAAGGCCUUCGGGUUGUAAAGUACUUUCAGCGGGGAGGAAGGGAGUAAAGUUAAUACCUUGGCAAUUGACGUUACCGACAGAAGAAGCACCGGCUAACUCCGUGCCAGCAGCCGCGGUAAUACGGAGGGUGCAAGCGUUAAUCGGAAUUACUGGGCGUAAAGCGCACGCAGGCGGUUGAUUGAGUCAGAUGUGAAAUCCCCGGGCUUAACCCGGGAAUUGCAUCUGAUACUGGUCAGCUAGAGUCUUGUAGAGGGGGGUAGAAUUCCAUGUGUAGCGGUGAAAUGCGUAGAGAUGUGGAGGAAUACCGGUGGCGAAGGCGGCCCCCUGGACAAAGACUGACGCUCAGGUGCGAAAGCGUGGGGAGCAAACAGG
rnacentral:rRNA from 1 species